rnacentral:rRNA from 1 species
UACGUAGGGGGCGAGCGUUGUCCGAAGUUACUGGGCGUAAAGCGCGCGUAGGCGGGGGAUUAAGUGAGAGGUGAAAGGCUGGGGCUCAACCCCAUGCAGUGCCUCUCAUACUGGUCUUCUUGAGGGCGGUAGGGAGAAGUGGAAUGGCUGGUGUAGCGGUGAAAUGCGUAGAUAUCAGUCGGAACACCGGUGGCGAAGGCGGCUUCUUGGGCCGGCAUUGACGCUGAGGCGCGAAAGCCAGGGGAGCAAACGGG